CUCAGCGACUGUAAAUAACAGAGAGCGCAUGCAAGUCGGCCCUAGAGCCGGCGACACUUUCGAAUUGCGGGGAUCUCCUUAGAGCCUCACCCUACCAACCGCCGAGGGAAACCUCGGACGGGGCCCAUGUUAACAGCAUGGGGUACGGUAAUCAAGUGGUGAGGAUUGGAUGAUCCGCAGCCAAGUCCCUAAGGGUGCGACGCACCACGGGAAAGGUUCACAGACUAAGUGGAAGUGGGUUGAGACGUGCCCUCGAGCCGUCCAGCUUAAGAUAUAGUCGGGUCCCAGAGGGAAACCUUGGGUAGUAGAGUCACUACUUUGCGAAAUAACCGUUCCGUAGGUGAACCUGCGGAAGGAUCAUUA
rnacentral:ncRNA from 1 species